rnacentral:sRNA from 1 species
UAAUAAGGAUCAAAGGCUUAAAUCGCAACAUCCUGUUAACAGACUUAAAACACAAUAUCCUGUCGUUUUGCCUGCAUUAGUAUGUCGCUUCGCCUUUGUGACCAACUUCCUGUUGG